rnacentral:rRNA from 1 species
GACAGAGGUGCCGAGCGUUAGGCGGAAUCACUGGGCUUAAAGCGUGUGUAGGCGGGCGGGCAAGUACCUUGUGAAAUCCCACGGCUCAACCGUGGAACUGCUUGGUAUACUGGUUGUCUUGAGGCACUCAGGGGCGAGCGGAACAGAUGGUGGAGCGGUGAAAUGCGUAGAUAUCAUCUGGAACGCCAAUGGUGAAGACAGCUCGCUGGGGGUGUACUGACACUGAGACACGAAAGCCAGGGGAGCGAACGGG